CUACGGGUGGCUGCAGUGGGGAAUAUUGGGCAAUGGGCGAAAGCCUGACCCAGCAACGCCGCGUGAAGGAAGAAGGCUUUCGGGUCGUAAACUUCUAUCCCAGGUGAAGAUAAUGACGGUAGCCUGGAAGGAAGCCCCGGCUAACUACGUGCCAGCAGCCGCGGUAAUACGUAGGGGGCAAGCGUUGUCCGGAAUGAUUGGGCGUAAAGGGCGCGUAGGCGGCCUUUUAAGUCCGAUGUGAAAGUCCUGCUUUUAAGGUGGGAAUUGCAUUGGAAACUGGAAGGCUUGAGUGCAGGAGAGGUAAGUGGAAUUCCCGGUGUAGCGGUGAAAUGCGUAGAGAUCGGGAGGAACACCAGUGGCGAAGGCGACUUACUGGACUGUAACUGACGCUGAGGCGCGAAAGUGUGGGGAGCAAACAGGAUUAGAUACCCUUGUAGUC
rnacentral:rRNA from 1 species